AAAGCAGGCUGCAAUUACAGUGCUUCAUUCUGUGGGAGCACUGCCAUGUCCCUGCUGAGAGCAAUUCUGUUACUUAGGAAUCGAUUUCACCUGUUCUGGUGAAAUCGGACUCCCUUUUUAGCAGUGACAGGU
ensembl:snoRNA small nucleolar RNA SNORA69